ACGGUGCUGCAGUCGACGAUUCCUACGGGAGGCAGCAGCAGGGAAUAUUGCGCAAUGGGCGAAAGCCUGACGCAGCAACGCCGCGUGGGGGAUGACGGCCUUCGGGUUGUAAACCCCUUUCAGGAGGGAAGAAAUUGACGGUACCUCCAGAAGAAGCCCCGGCUAACUACGUGCCAGCAGCCGCGGUAAUACGUAGGGGGCAAGCGUUGUCCGGAAUUAUUGGGCGUAAAGAGCUCGUAGGCGGCUUAGUAAGUCGGCUGUGAAAUACCGGGGCUCAACCCCGGAACUGCAGUCGAUACUGCUGUGGCUAGAGUCUGGUAGAGGAGAAUGGAAUUCCCGGUGUAGCGGUGGAAUGCGCAGAUAUCGGGAGGAACACCAGUAGCGAAGGCGGUUCUCUGGGCCAGUACUGACGCUGAGGAGCGAAAGCGUGGGGAGCAAACAGGAUUAGAUACCCUGGUAGUCCACGCUGUAAACGUUGGGUACUAGGUGUGGCGAUCUGAUCAACGAUUGCCGUGCCGAAGCUAACGCAUUAAGUACCCCGCCUGGGGAGUACGGCCGCAAGGCUAAAACUCAAAGGAAUUGACGG
rnacentral:rRNA from 1 species